rnacentral:rRNA from 1 species
UUAGAUGCGAGAGUAGAGCAUAUCAAUAAGCGGAGGAAAAGAAACUAACAAGGAUUCCCUUAGUAACGGCGAGUGAAGCGGGAAGAGCUCAAAUUUGAAAUCUUCAAGGUUUUACCUUGACGAAUUGUAGUUUAAAGAAGUGUUUUCUGUUAGAGAGGUGGUAAAAGUUCUUUGGAAUAGGACAUCAUAGAGGGUGAGAAUCCCGUAUUUGAUCACUUUCUACUAACGUUGUGAUACACUUUCAAAGAGUCGGAUUGUUUGGGAAUGCAGUCCAAAAUGGGUGGUAAAUUUCAUCUAAAGCUAAAUAUUGGCGAGACCGAUAGCGAACAAGUACCGUGAGGGAAAGAUGAAAAGAACUUUGAAAGAGAGAGUUAAACAGUACGUGAAAUUGUCAAAGGGGAAGCGUUUGACACCAGUGUUGUUUUCUCGAAAAUCAAUUAAAAAAAGUUGGAUUUUGUGUUGUAUUGACCUUAACAGCUUCCUUCUCUCUUCACGAAACUUUUGUAAUGCACUUUUCGGUUAACAAGUCAACAUCAAUUUCUUUUGUUGUAAAAGAGUAUUCGGAAGGUGGCUUUCUUUUCGGAGAAAGUGAUUAUAGCCCUAUACUUCUACAAUCGGAGAGAUUGAGGUCUGCAGCGUAGAUCCUUCGGGGUUAGAUACAUUUGUGCUAAGUUAUAGCCUUUCAUAGACAACUUGUUGACUAUGAUCAGUCAUGUAGCUUACUCGCUUAUGCUAUUUUACCUACGCUUAGGAUGUUGAGCGCAUGUCUCUCUCU